UACGGGGGGGGCAAGCGUUGUUCGGAAUUACUGGGCGUAAAGGGUGCGCAGGCGGCUCGGUUAGUGGAAUGUGAAAUGCCCUGGCUUAAACCAGGGAACUGCAUUCCAUACUGCCGGGCUUGAGUAUAGGAGAGGAUGGGGGAAUUCCCGGUGUAGCGGUGGAAUGCAUUGAUAUCGGGAGGAACACCAGUGGCGAAGGCGCCCAUCUGGCCUAAUACUGACGCUGAGGCACGAAAGCUAGGGGAGCAAACAGG
rnacentral:rRNA from 1 species